rnacentral:rRNA from 1 species
CCGAUCCGCAUCAAGCGGUAGGGAGGCGCCUAGGGUAAACUCGGUGACUGGGGCGAAGUCGUAACAAGGUAGCCGUACGGGAACGUGCGGCUGGAUCACCUCCUUU